rnacentral:rRNA from 1 species
AAUGAACGCUGGCGGCGUGCUUAACACAUGCAAGUCGAACGAGAAAGCUUUAGCUUGCUAAAGCGAGUACAGUGGCGCACGGGUGAGUAACGCGUGGGUAAUCUACCUUUGAAUUUGGGAUAACACUUCGAAAGGGGUGCUAAUACCGAAUAAUAUCUUUGCCAUUGCGGUGGUUGAGAUCAAAGAUGGCCUCUUCUUGAAAGCUAUUGUUUGAAGAUGAGCCCGCGUACCAUUAGCUUGUUGGUGGGGUAAUGGCCUACCAAGGCGACGAUGGUUAGCUGGUCUGAGAGGAUGAUCAGCCACACUGGAACUGGAACACGGUCCAGACUCCUACGGGAGGCUG